UACGGAGGGAGCUAGCGUUGUUCGGAAUUACUGGGCGUAAAGCGCGCGUAGGCGGCUUUGUAAGUUAGAGGUGAAAAGCCCGGGGGCUCAACCCCGGAAUUGCCUUUAAGACUGCAUCGCUUGAAUCCGGGAGAGGUGAGUGGAAUUCCGAGUGUAGAGGUGAAAUUCGUAGAUAUUCGGAAGAACACCAGUGGCGAAGGCGGCUCACUGGACCGGCAUUGACGCUGAGGUGCGAAAGCGUGGGGAGCAAACAGG
rnacentral:rRNA from 1 species